UGGGGAAUAUUGGUCAAUGGGCGAAAGCCUGAACCAGCAAUGCCGCGUGAGUGAUGAAGGCCUUCGGGUUGUAAAGCUCUGUCAGUGGGAACGAAGAAGCCGGUUAAUACCCGGUGGUGACGGUACCCACAAAGGAAGCACCGGCUAACUCUGUGCCAGCAGCCGCGGUAAUACAGAGGGUGCAAGCGUUGUUCGGAAUUACUGGGCGUAAAGCGCGUGUAGGCGGUCUAGUAAGUCGGUCGUGAAAUCCCUUGGCUUAACCAAGGAACUGCGUCCGAAACUGUUGGACUUGAGUGUCGGAGGGGAUGGCGGAAUUCCCGGUGUAGAGGUGAAAUUCGUAGAUAUCGGGAGGAACACCCGUGGCGAAGGCGGCCAUCUGGAAGAUUACUGACGCUGAGACGCGAAAGCGUGGGGAGCAAACAG
rnacentral:rRNA from 1 species